UACGUAGGGUGCAAGCGUUGUCCGGAAUUAUUGGGCGUAAGAGCUCGUAGGCGGUCUGUCGCGUCGGCUGUGAAAACCCGGGGCUCAACCCCGGGCCUGCAGUCGAUACGGGCAGACUAGAGUGCGGUAGGGGAGACUGGAAUUCCUGGUGUAGCGGUGAAAUGCGCAGAUAUCAGGAGGAACACCGAUGGCGAAGGCAGGUCUCUGGGCAUUAACUGACGCUGAGGAGCGGAAAGCAUGGGGAGCGAACAGG
rnacentral:rRNA from 1 species